rnacentral:rRNA from 1 species
GGCUCCUUGUUAGUAGAUAAAUAAGGAGUCGGACCUGCCCAGUGAAUUUUUUUUCAACGGCCGCGGUACUCUGACCGUGCAAAGGUAGCAUAAUCAUUUGCCUUAUAAUUGAAGGCUAGUAUGAACGGUUUGACAAGAAUAUAGCUGUCUCUUUAUAAUUUGAUAGAACUUUAUUUUGGGGUGAAGAAGCCCCAAUUAAAUUAAAAGACAAGAAGACCCUAUCGAGCUUUAAAAAAAUUAAUGGAAUGUAUAAUAUUAAUACAAUGAUUAAAAAAUCGGCUGUUAAAGAUUUUGGUUGGGGCGACUAAGGAACAAAAAUAGCUUCCUUUGCAGGUACUAUAACAUACAGGUAUUGAUCCAAAAUUUUUGAUUAAAGAAGUUAGUUACCGUAGGGAUAACAGCAUUAUCCUCUUUGAGAGCUCUUAUCGAAAAGGGGGUUUGUGACCUCGAUGUUGGACCAGAAUAUCCUAAAGAUGUAGAAGUCUUUAAGGGUUGGUCUGUUCGACCAUUAAAAUUCU